rnacentral:rRNA from 1 species
GACGAACGCUGGCGGCGUGCUUAACACAUGCAAGUCGAACGCUGAAGCUCAGCUUUUGUUGGGUGGAUGAGUGGCGAACGGGUGAGUAACACGUGAGUAACCUGCCCCCUUCUUUGGGAUAACGCCCGGAAACGGGUGCUAAUACUGGGUAUUCACUGGUCUUCGCAUGGGGGUUGGUGGAAAGGGUUUUUCUGGUGGGGGAUGGGCUCGCGGCCUAUCAGCUUGUUGGUGGGGUGAUGGCCUACCAAGGCUUUGACGGGUAGCCGGCCUGAGAGGGUGACCGGUCACAUUGGGACUGAGAUACGGCCCAGACUCCUACGGGAGGCAGCAGUGGGGAAUAAUGCACAAUGGGCGCAAGCCUGAUGCAGCGACGCCGCGUGAGGGAUGGAGGCCUUCGGGUUGUGAACCUCUUUCGCUCAUGGUCAAGCCGCAACAAUGGUUGUGGUGAGGGUAGUGGGUAAAGAAGCGCCGGCUAACUACGUG